rnacentral:rRNA from 1 species
UACAGAGGUCCCGAGCGUUGUUCGGAUUCACUGGGCGUAAAGGGUGCGCAGGUGGGUUUGCAAGUUCGAUGUGAAAGCCCCGGGCUUAACCCGGGAAUGGCAUUGGAUACUGCAGAUCUGGAGGAUCGGAGGGGGGACUGGAAUUCUUGGUGUAGCAGUGAAAUGCGUAGAUAUCAGGAGGAACACCAGUGGCGAAGGCGAGUCCCUGGACGAUACCUGACACUGAGGCACGAAAGCUAGGGGAGCAAACAGG